rnacentral:sRNA from 1 species
GGAACUGAAGGUCAAGGGAAAACUGGAUUCAGGAAGUAGCUAACUUCUGAGGAGUUGCAGAAGAGCUGAGUAGGGUUUGGGAGAAUUCUCGGGAAGAUACACCCCCUACUGAUCCGGGACCGGAGGAGCGAGUCCAGUCGCAACAAACUGCUGAGACGCACAGUCUCCGUGCCGGUGGAGGGGCGGCCCCA